AUGAUAUGGAAACUUGGAAGCCACGAUAUACAUCCAAAAUUAAAAGAAAAUGAAAAGAUUAUAAUUAUAUUUCCGCCUUUUUUGUAUUAUUUUCAAAAAUUUAAAGAACAAAGACAUAAUUUCAAGAUACAUGAAAUUACAACACGAUUUAAAUAUAUAAAAUUUAUAAAAUUAUAAUUAUUCAUCAUAAGCUAUAUUGUUUAUAUUUUUUGAUAUUUCAAAAAAUAUUAUUUAGGAUUACUUUUUGAGAAUGGACUUAAAAAUGAUUUAUCAUAUCCUCUGAUAAACCUCUACAAAGUUUGUGCAUAUUUUGUUAAUGCAUUUAAAAAUUGUUCCAGAAAUUAUUCUCUGCUCGUUAGAACUCAUCAAUGAGGAUGGACAAUUUUCAUCAGUUUCACAUGGUUGCCCCUCUUAGUGAAAAAUAGAAUAAAAUUUUUUAGUGAAACAUGAAGAAAGAUAUUGUAAGAAUUAUAACAUAAAAUAAAUAAUAAUUAAGAAGCAAAAAUGAUUUACCGCAAUCCCCGGAUGAAAGAAGGAAUAGGGAAAAAAAUAAAAUUAUAGCAUAAAUAAAUUUGAGAACUUUUGUCAUUUUUUCUCUCUUUCUUGUUAGAAGUAAAAAGAGAGUUGAUCAAUUUAUAGUGUGUAAAUCCAAUGUAAUGUUUAAAACAAUUAAAUAUUUUAAGCCCUAAAGUAUAAAAUAUAUUUUAAUUGUCCCUUUUUCACGUUUAACAUGCGUCUCUUAAGCAUAUUUAGCAAAGGGGGUAAGAAACAAAUACUUUAUAAUCUUUAGAUUUAUUUAAAAGUAAUUUUACAUCAUUUGGUGAUUGAAAGGACAUGUUUUUUAUUUUAUUCUUUUAGAUCUCUGUGAUUCGGAUAAUUUUUAAUCAUUAAAAAUCGCCCAAAACGCACCACGAACAACUUUAUAUAGAAGAAAUUACAUUAUACACAAAUAUGAUCUUAUUUCCUUAAUAUCCAAUAAUUUUAUAAAAGAAAUCAUCGUUAUGUUUAACUCGUAUACAUUACAACUAUAUCUCUCAACUCUACAUUUAUAUAUAUAUAUAUAUAUUAUAUUAUAUAUAUUAUAUAUUAUAUAUAUAUAUAUAUAUAUAUAUACUAUAUAUAUCAUAUAUAUAUAUAUAUAUAUAUAUAUAUAUUAUAUAUUAUAUAUAUUAUGAUAUAUAUAUAUAUUAUAUAUAUAAUAUAUAUAUAUAUAUAUAUAUUUUAGAUCAAUCUUCUAAGAAUAAAAUAAAAAAACAUGUCCUUUCAAUCACAAUGUGUAAAAUUACUUUUAAACUAAUCUAAAGAUUAUAAAGUAUUUUGUUCUUACCCCUUUGCUAAUAUGCUUAAGAGACGCAUGUUUAAACGUGAAGAAAGGGACAAUUAAAAUUAUUUUAUACUUUAGGGCUUAAAAUAUUAAUUGUUUUAAUACAUUACAUUGGAUUUACCACCUAUAAAUGAUCAACUCCUUUACUUCUAACAGAAAGAAAAAAAUGACAAAAGUUCUCAAAUUUAUGCUAUAAUUUUAUUUUUUUUCCCUAUUCCUUCUUUCAUCCAUUGCGGUUAAAUCAUUUUGCUUCUUAAUUAUUUAUUUUGUUAGUUUAAUUCUUACAAUAUCUUCUCAUGUUUCACUAAAAAUUUUAUUCUUAUUUUUCACUAGAGGGGGCAAACCAUGUGAACACUGAUGAAAAUUGUUCCAUCCUCCAUUGAUGAGUCGUAACGAGCAGAGAAUAAUUUCCGGGAACGAAUUUUUUAAAAUGCAUUUACAAAAUAUGCACAAACUUUGUACAGGUUUAUCAGAGGAUAUGAUAAAUCAUUUUUAAGUCC
rnacentral:lncRNA from 1 species